rnacentral:rRNA from 1 species
GAUGAACGCUGGCGGCGUGCCUAAUACAUGCAAGUCGAGCGAACAGACGAGGAGCUUGCUCCUUUGACGUUAGCGGCGGACGGGUGAGUAACACGUAGGUAACCUACCUAUAAGACUGGGAUAACUUCGGGAAACCGGAGCUAAUACCGGAUAAUAUUUCGAACCGCAUGGUUCGAUAGUGAAAGAUGGCUUUGCUAUCACUUAUAGAUGGACCUGCGCCGUAUUAGCUAGUUGGUAAGGUAACGGCUUACCAAGGCAACGAUACGUAGCCGACCUGAGAGGGUGAUCGGCCACACUGGAACUUGGACACGGUCCAGACUCCUACGGGACGCAGCAGUAGGGAAUCUUCCGCAAUGGGCGAAAGCCUGACGGAGCAACGCCGCGUGAGUGAUGACGGUCUUCGGAUCGUAAAACUCUGUUAUUAGGGAAGAACAAACGUGUAAGUAACUGUGCCCGUCCUGACGGUACCUAAUCAGAAAGCCACGGCUAACUACGUG